rnacentral:rRNA from 1 species
GAAGUAAAAAGUCGUAACAAGGUUUCCGUAGGUGAACCUGCGGAAGGAUCAUUACAGUAGUCAUCCGGGUUGCCGCAAGGCCUCCCGGGUAACCUACCACCCUUUGUUUAUUACACUUUGUUGCUUUGGCAGGCCUGCCCUCGGGCUGCUGGCUCCGGCCGGCGAGCGUCUGCCAGAGGACCUAAACUCUGUUUGUCUAUAAUGUCUGAGUACUAUAUAAUAGUUAAAACUUUCAACAACGGAUCUCUUGGUUCUGGCAUCGAUGAAGAACGCAGCGAAAUGCGAUAAGUAAUGUGAAUUGCAGAAUUCAGUGAAUCAUCGAAUCUUUGAACGCACAUUGCGCCCCCUGGUAUUCCGGGGGGCAUGCCUGUCCGAGCGUCAUUACAACCCUCAAGCUCAGCUUGGUGUUGGGCCCCGCCGCCCCGGCGGGCCCUAAAGUCAGUGGCGGUGCCGUCCGGCUCCGAGCGUAGUAAUUCUUCUCGCUCUGGAGGUCCGGUCGUGUGCUUGCCAGCAACCCCCAAUUUUUUUCAGGUUGACCUCGGAUCAGGUAGGGAUACCCGCUGAACUUAAGCAUAUCAAUAAGCGGAGGA